rnacentral:rRNA from 1 species
GAUGAACGCUGGCGGCGUGCCUAAUACAUGCAAGUCGAGCGAACCACUUCGGUGGUGAGCGGCGAACGGGUGAGUAACACGUAGGUGAUCUGCCCAUCAGACGGGGACAACGAUUGGAAACGAUCGCUAAUACCGGAUAGGACGAAAGUUUAAAGGUGCUUCUGGCACCGCUGAUGGAUGAGCCUGCGGCGCAUUAGUUAGUUGGUGAGGUAAGAGCUCACCAAGGCGAUGAUAGAUAGGCGGCCUUAACGGGUGGUCGCCCACACUGGGAUUGAGAUACGGCCCAGACUCCUACGGGAGCAGCAGUCGAGAAUAGUCUACAAUGGUCGGAAGACUGAUAGUGCGACGCCGCGUGAACGAUGAAUCCCUUCGGGGUUAAAGUUCUUUUAUAUGUGAGCAGUGCUUCUUAUAUUAACAGUAUGGGGAAGAGAUAUUAGCAUAUGAAUAAGCAAACGGCUAACUCCGUGCCAGCAGCCGG